ACACCUCAACUCUCAUGGUUUGCCAUGAUGAGCUUGGACUUUGGGGGUUUUGCUGGCCUAUGGUCGGCUCUCCUCAAAUGAAUCAGCUUGCCAGUGUUUUGGUGGCGUCGCAGGUGUGAUAACUAUCUACGCUUGCAGACUCCCACCGGGCAACCUUCAGUGAUGAAGGUUCGCUGGAGCUUAUAAACGUCUCUCUCAAUGAGGACAGCAUUUUGAA
rnacentral:misc_RNA from 1 species